AUUGAACGCUGGCGGCAUGCUUUACACAUGCAAGUCGAACGGUAACAGGCCGCAAGGUGCUGACGAGUGGCGAACGGGUGAGUAAUGCAUCGGAACGUGCCCAGUCGUGGGGGAUAACGCAGCGAAAGCUGUGCUAAUACCGCAUACGAUCUAUGGAUGAAAGCGGGGGACCGUAAGGCCUCGCGCGAUUGGAUCGGCCGAUGUCAGAUUAGGUAGUUGGUGGGGUAAAGGCUCACCAAGCCAACGAUCUGUAGCUGGUCUGAGAGGACGACCAGCCACACUGGGACUGAGACACGGCCCAGACUCCUACGGGAGGCAGCAGUGGGGAAUUUUGGACAAUGGGCGCAAGCCUGAUCCAGCAAUGCCGCGUGCAGGAAGAAGGCCUUCGGGUUGUAAACUGCUUUUGUACGGAACGAAAAGGUCUGGGUUAAUACCCUGGGCUGAUGACGGUACCGUAAGAAUAAGCACCGGCUAACUACGUGCCAGCCGCCGCCGUAAUAC
rnacentral:rRNA from 1 species